rnacentral:lncRNA from 1 species
GCAGCUGGCUAAGCGCUAGCCCGGCCUGUGGCGAGUCUGCAGAGCUCGCCCGGAAGUAGCGUUGCGCGCGCAGAGGAUGGGCGCUGAGCAGCACACAGCCCGCGGCGGGGUCUCAGGAUCCGCGGCGCUGCCCGGGGCCGGGGGAAGGAAGCCAGCCGAGGAGACGCACGUGCCCUGAGUCCGGGAGCGGGGAGCCUCUUCAUCUCUCCAUCCUCCCUCCGCGCGCGCCCUCAGCCGUCCUCGUCCGCUCACCAUGCACCUCCCCUCCAAGAAAGGGCCACAUGCGUGCCAGGGACGCGAGCCCCGGCCACAGGGACAUAGCAGCCUAGAAGCAGGAGGGCAGCGUUCGUGGCUUAGAAAGACCAGUCUGCUGCCGGUGAAGAGCAGGGUGCUUCAGAGUGGCUCCCAGAGAGAAAGGGGCAGCACACUCUUCCACAUGCCCAUUGUGCUCCCCAGGAGAAUGUGUGGCAGAGACUGAGGCUGGCCACAGGAAUUACACAUACAGUGUAAAAUUUGCAAAGCAAGAAGUAUAGCUGUGCUCAAAAAUAGGUCGAAGCCGGGCGCCGUGGCUCAUGCCUAUAAUCCCGGCACUUUGGGAGGCCAAGGCAGACGGAUUUCUUGAGGUUAGGAAUUUGAGACCAGCCUGGCCAGCAUGGUGAAGCCCCAUCUCUACUAAAAUUCAAAAAAUAAAAACAAAAACAAAAACAAAACUGGUGGCUGGGCGUGGUUGCUCACGCCUGUAAUCCCAGCACUUUGGGAGGCCGAUGCAGGUGGAUCACUUGAGGUCAGGAGUCCGAGACUAUCCUGACCAACCUGGUGAAACCCCGUCUCUAAUAAAAAUACAAAAAUAAGCCAGGCAUGGUGGCAGGCGCCUGUAAUCCCAGCUACUUGGGAGGCUGAGGCAGGAUAAUCGCUCAAACCCGGGAGGUGAAGGUUGCAGUGAGCUGAGAUCGCGCCAUUGCACUCCAGCCUGGGAGACACAGCGGGACUCUAUCAAAAAAACAAAACAAAACAAAACAAAAGUGAUAUCUCUGUGAGCCAGAAAUGAAGAGAAAUGCAAAGUGCUGAGUGGGCCUGCAACUGCAAAGCUGCUGGGCCUGGGUCACCCACGCUUGUAAAAGAAGCACGCAGCCAGGGGCGCACCAGUGGUCCCAGCUACUUGGGGAGGCCGAGGUGGGAGGAAUCACUUGAGCCCAGGAGUGCAAGACCAGCUGGAGCAACAUGGUGUGAACCUGUCUCAAAAAAAUAAAAAUAAAGAAAAAUUUUAAAAACCCAUGCAGCCAAAGAGGGAUGUCCAGACAGCCUUAUGUCCAGGACCUGAGCAAACCAGUCCCUGACUUAGAGUGCAGAUGGGACCUGGGGCAUUUGCACCACCACGCAGGGCUGUAGGACUCAAUACAACACGUGUGACGGAGAUGUAGCUGUCCACCCAGCGCCCCCACCCUCCUCGGUACUAAGUGGACAUGUGGGUGUCCAGCUCUACUACAUUUCCCAGCUUCCCUUGGAGUUGGGAGCUGCCAUGUGGCCAGGUUCUCGCCCAUGGAACAUGAGGGGAGGUGACAUGCAUGGCUUCUGAGCCUGGACCAUCAUUCCUCCCCGGGGCUGCCUCCUACCGUGGACCAGCUUCCUAGGCUGCUGCAACACAUUAUGACAGACUCAGUGCCUCAAAACAAUGCAAAUAUAUGCUCUUCAGCUCUGGAAGCCAGAGUCUGAAAUCAGUUUCAUGGGCUAAAGUCAAGGUGUCAGUGGGGCUUGUUCCUUUUGGAGACUCUAGGGGAGGAACCAUCUGUGGCCUUUCUAGCUUCUUGCAUCCCUCAGACCCAUGCAUUCAUCUUCACACCUGUUUUCUCUCUGUACGGAUAUGUCUCUUUGCCUCCCUAUUACAAGAACAUUUGGGAUCCCAUUUCAGACCCACCCAGAAUAUCCUCCCAUCUCAAGAUCCUUAAUGUCAUGACAUCUGCUAACUCCUUUUUGCCAUGUAAAGCAACAUCACAUGUUCUGACUAUUAGGAUGCAGACAUAUUUGGAGGCCAUUAUUCAGCCUACUACAGGUGACAGGUACAACCUUGGAAGCCCUGUUUUGAGGAUGGCAGAGCCCACCAGCCUGCAUCCCUCCAAGACUGCGUGGAACAGAUCUUCCUUACUAUCCCUUUCUCCUCCUCUGCCUGACCUGGACAUACACCCUGCCCUGUUACGUGAAAGCAAAAGAAAAUCCUGUUGUGUUUAAGAUAUUGCGUUUGGAGUCCAUUUGUUCCAGAUGUUUAGCCCACCCUAAUACAGAGAGGUUGAGGCAACUGCAGAACAGGGAGACAGACAGCGUCACACACAGUGAGGAAGAGAGAAAAUGAAACAUUUCCUAAUUAAAAUGAACCUAGAAUGUAAGUUCCAAAGGGAUUGUAAAAAUGAAUACUAAAUAAGAAAGCCAAAGGCCAGGCACAGUGACUCAUGCCUAUAAUCCAGCACCUUGGGAGGCCGAGGCAGGUGGAUUGCUUGAGCUCAGGAGUUCAAGACCAGCCUGGGCAACAUAGUGAAGACCCUGUGUCUACAAAACUUUAAAAAAAUUAGCUGGGUGUGGUGGCCUGUGCCUACAGUCCCAGCUACUUGGAAGACUGAGGCAAGAGGAUCAGCUGAGCCCAGGAGGUCAAGGCUGCCAAUGAACCAUGAUUUCGCCACUGCACUCCAGCAUGAAUGAUAGAGGGAGACCCUGUCUCAAAAUAUAAAAUAAAUAAGAAAGCCAAUACUGUGAACAAUGGGAACAUGAAUUAUUAAAGUUGAAUUUUAUAUUGUAGAACAUGAGUAUGAUUUUAAAAUUAUGUUUAGAACCAGGCCAUGUGGCUCAUGCCUGUAGUCCCUGCUACUCAGAAGGCUGAGGUGGGAGGAUCCCUUAGGCCCAGGUGUUAGGAGUUCACGGGUACAGUGAGCUAUAAUCAUGCCAGUGCACUCCAGCUUGGGUGACAGAGUGACUCUGAUUUAAAAAAAAUGGGAAUGGGACUGGGCGCUGUGGCUCACGCCUGUAAUCCCAGCACUUUGGGAGGACGAGGUGGGAGGAUAACCUGAGGUUAGGAGUUCAAGACCAGCCUGGGCAACAUGGUGAAACCCCGUAUCUACUAAAAAUACAAAAAUUAGCUGGGUGUGGUGGCGGGCACCUGUAAUCCCAGCUACUUGGGAGGCUGAGGCAGGAGAAUUACUUGAACCCGGGAGGUGGAGGUUGCAGUGAGCCGAGAUCACCAUUGCACUCCAGCCUGGGUGACAAUAGUGAAACUCCAUCUACAAAAAAAAAAAGGAAAAAAGUCACCGAGAUUGCCAACCCACUGAAUCAAAAGAAGCAAUAAAUCUUGGUUGUUUUUUACUGUUACAUUUUGGGGUGGGUCUUUAAACAGCAACGGAUAAGAAAAUAUAGCAGAUGAUCGUGGGGUGGGAGCAGGGGACAGCAUAGAACAUAUUAGACAGAAAACCUAAGGGUAUAUUUCAUAUACAUAUUGACAAAAAAAUGCCAAACUCUGGAAAGUAUUAAAAGAGAUUUAUUCUGAGCUAAAUGCAAGGGCCAUGACCCAUGAGGCAGCCUCAGGAGGUCCUGAGAACAUGGGCCCAAGGUGGUUGGGUUACAGCUUUGGUUUAUAUAUUUUAAGGAGACAUAAGACAUCAAUCAGUGCAUGUGAGGUAUACAUUGGUUCCAUCUGGAAAGGCGCGACAACUCAAAGCGGGGGCUUACAGGGCAUAGGUGGACUCAGAUUUUCUUUUCUUUUUUUUUUUUUUUUGAGACAGAAUCUCACUCUGUUGCCCACGCUGGAGUGCAGUGGCAUGAUCUCGACUCACUGCAACCUCCACCUCCCAGGUUCAAGCAAUUCUCUGCCUCAGCCUCCUGAGCAGAUGGGAUUACAGGCCUGUGCCACCAUGCCCGGAUAAGUUUUGUAUUUUUAGUAGAGACGGGGUUUCACCCUGUUGGUCAGGUUGGUCUCAAACUCCUGACCUCGUGAUCCACCUGCCUCAGCCUCCCAAAGUGCUGGGAUUACAGGUGUGAGCCACUGUGCCUGGCCAGUUUUUCAGGUUUCUUUGGCAUCCUCUUGGCCAAGGGGGAAGGGUCUAUUCAGUUGGUUGGGGGUGCUUAAGAGUCACUUUUGGUUUACAUACCGUAUCAAUGGCUGUGUAAUUGUCAGGGGCGUGUGAACCAGAGCAACUCCAUCUUGAAUAGGAGCUGGGUAAAAUGAGGCUGAAACCUACUGGGAUGCAUUCCCAGAUGACUGAGGCAUUCUAAGUCACAGGAUGAUGUAGGCGGUCAGCACAAAAUACAGGUCAUAAACACCUUGCUGAUAAAACAGCUUGCGGUAAAGAAGCCGGCCAUAGCCAGGCGUGGUGGCUCAUGCCUGUAAUCCCAGCACUUUGGGAGGUGGGUGGAUCAUGA